rnacentral:rRNA from 1 species
ACGAACGCUGGCGGCGUGCUUAACCCAUGCAAGUCGAACGGAAAGGCCCUGCUUGCAGGGUACUCGAGUGGCGAACGGGUGAGUAACACGUGGGUGAUCUGCCCUGCACUUCGGGAUAAGCCUGGGAAACUGGGUCUAAUACCGGAUAUGACCUUCCAUGUAGUGUGGGGGGUGGAAAGAUUUAUCGGUGUGGGAUGAGCCCGCGGCCUAUCAGCUUGUUGGUGGGGUAAUGGCCUACCAAGGCGUCGACGGGUAGCCGGCCUGAGAGGGUGGACGGCCACAUUGGGACUGAGAUACGGCCCAGACUCCUACGGGAGGCAGCAGUGGGGAAUAUUGCACAAUGGGCGGAAGCCUGAUGCAGCGACGCCGCGUGGGGGAUGACGGCCUUCGGGUUGUAAACCUCUUUCGACAGGGACGAAGCUUCGGUGACGGUACCUGUAUAAGAAGCACCGGCUAACUACGUG